rnacentral:lncRNA from 1 species
UUUUUUUUUUUUUUUUUUUUUAGAUUGUUUAGAAUUUAUGCUGCAAAUUAAACCUACCCAACAUCCCCCCCCCACUUUUUAAACAUCACUAUAAUGGUGUUGUUUACAGUUGUAAGUGUGUGAAAUUGAAGCUGAUGCGAAAUAAUGUACAAGGCUAUAGAAAGAGGACUUUAGCAUAUACUUUAACGACACAGUAUAUCAGAAUACAUUAUUAGAAUCACAUAAAUGAUAUCUCCCUAAGUAUAAGUUAAUUGAGAAAACAAAGAGAGUGUAAAUACGAUAUUGUCCAGUAUUGAACACUGAAUAUGAAUGUAGUACAUGGUUGUGUAUUAGGAAUAAAUUCUGAUAGCAGUAGUUCGGGAUAUUCCAUUGAUAUUAACUAAAAUUAUUUAAGGCCACAUUGUGUUAUAGUUGAUAUAAAACUGUACACAUUUAAUAUAUGUAUUUUGAUACAUUUGGAUAUAAUACCUACACUCAAGCAACCCCAUUGUACGUAGUUCUUAUAAAAAUGACAGGGUUGCCAUGGAUCCCAGCAGUUUUCUCAGUAUAGUUUCCAUGCACUUGAAAUUAGUUUUAAGAAGAAUCAGAAUUCUCAUGUUCAUUGCAGUUGUAUUCCUGGUACCCUAAAUAUGAGAAUUACUUCAGUGCUCAUUUGUUGAGGACAAACUGGCUGUCUCAAGGAGAAGUUGUGCUAAAGGAAUGAAGACAAUAGUAAUGGUUAAAGGACUAAGUACUUGUAAAGACUCUCACAGUCAGUGCUGUAUUGGUCUUAAAAACGGCAUGUAAUUACAGCUUAGGCAAUGUCAACGCAUUUCUUUUUCCAUAUAAUUUUAAUCUUUAGUGUUCUCUUAUGGAUAUGAGAACUUGAACCAUCUUGUCUACCUUGCAUGUAGGAAGGUCAACAGGAUCUCAAGGGAGAGCAAGGAUUGAAAAGAAGACAAUUAGACAACACUAUAACAUUACUCCAGCCAGUGCUGUGGCUGAAGUGGGUCUAUUUUUCAUAAGCCUGCUCUUGUACCAUUUUAAGUCCAUACUAGUAAUAAGGUCAGUUCUAGGUCAAGGAACUGAGAUGACAGUAAACAAUGUUCAGGGAUAGUUGUUUUUAGGGGCUUAGUAGGAUGACCAAGAUAAAAGGUAUGCCACACAUUCCUUGGCUGGGUUUGCUUUGCUUGAGCUUUGUAUUAGCCCAAAUGCAAAUAUUAUUUUCUGAGCCUACUUCCAUGUCCUAGCUUAAUGUCCAAUUCCUGCCAAAUUCCUACAGAAGGGCAGAAAGCACAGAAUCUAGCUGAAGAAAUCACAUUCAAAGAGAUUUUCUAAUGUUUAUUUACAUCAUUAUGUGGAGAAGAGAAAUGAACUAGCAAGUUUUCUGUAGCAAGAGUUGUUAUAGAUGGGAAACAAAUGUGGUAUUAUAGUAUACUGUAAAAAUGCAGAGAGUUGCUGUAUUUGGAUGGUAUGAGAGCUUUCUGUCUAUGAGUCAUGCUCCAUGAAAAAGUAAAAAUGAGUUUAAGAAACAGACUGACUGUUUGGUUUGAAUUUAAAUACUGAUGAUAUAUUACAAUUGAACACACAAAUGAACACACAGUUAUCUUAAAUAACGGACUCAUCUCUUUGUUUUCUCUGCAUUAAGUCACUUAUCUUUCAUUUUUGCUUUGGAGAAUGUGUUUAAACAUUUAACAUUUUUAUACAUCGGUUUAUUCUUAAUGCAUAAUAUAAUUAUUGUAGCAAUUUUGUACAACAUCACAUGUUUAUUUUUAUUGAAUACUCAUUUAAACAUUAGUUGUUCUUGAAAACAAUCAAGAGUAUUUGUUUGGGAUGAAAUGAAAAGCAUUGUAAUUCCACAUUCCAAACUAAAGAAGCUAAUACAAGAAAAUGACUGCUUUUGUUUCCUACGUGAUAUAUAUUUCACAUUGCUGAGAGGAAAACUUCUGAUUUCACAGAUGUAGUCUGGGCCCAAGAUGAGCUCUUCAUGAACUCCUGUUUUGCUGGGUAUUUGAUCACACUGUGAACCCAGAGACUAUCCAAUUUACUCUGUAGUUGGGGGGUAUGAGGUGUGGGAAACUAUUUCAAAUUGUGGGGUGGCUCAGCCCUUAGUAUACACAUUUGCUCCCAAAGGAUGAAGAUAAAGUUAAUUUCAGAAGGAAGCACUCAUGUUUGAAAGCAAUGUCUAAUUGAGUGGCUGAAAAAAUGAUGAGUCACGGAAAGAUCUGACAGAAUAGGAUAUGCUCAACUCUCAAGAGAAGAGAGAAGAGAGGCAACAUAAGAGGAAGUAGCACCCUCUCAGAGAGUGAGAGGCAGAGGUAGUUUUACCUGGAGAGUUUUACAGAGACAGGCUAAAGAGAAAACAAACUGGACACAGGUGAAGAAAGAAUGAGCCAGAGCCUGAGAAUGUGCCAGAAGAUGAGAACAGAUUGCUUCAGUUCAUUUGAGGCCAAGCACAGCAGUUCAGUCAGAAGUAUAAGAUGCCCAUUUGAAUUGGUUACCAUGAAGAGGAGUUAGAGUCAGAACAGCUGACUUGACCAGCCAGUCAAAGUUCAGAAAGAAAAAGAAAGGUGAUUUUAUUCAGCAGUUAAGUCUCAGAUGCUCAAAACAUUCUAGACCUAGAUAAGAUUGCACAGAGGAUAGAAGCUUUCAGGACUAGGUCUAGAUUAUCAGGAGGAAUUGAGCCUCCAAGAUGAUAUAUUUACACUCGUGUGUGAGGGCCACCGUCCUAAAAGGAGAACGAAAAUUGCAAAUGUCACCAUCAUUCUGUCCUCUCUUCACUAUUUUGCUCUUCUUUGUCCAUUAUUGCUUCCCUCUUUUGCAUUUUCAUUUAAGCAAUAUUGAAUUAAUUUUUAAAUUGAAGGUAGGUUCUUCUCAUACAAUAUAUCCUGAGCACUAUUUUUCCUUCCCUACGCUCCUCCCAGCUACUACCCCCACAAUUCACCUGUCCUCCACUCCCCAAAUUCCAACACCCUGUCGCCCCAUUUUCUCUUCAAAAAGGAGCAGAGCUCCAGGAGAGGACAGCCUAACAGGACAAAAUCAGUUAGAAAAACGUGAAAGCCUUCAUAUUGCAGAAGGCAACCUGCCACAGACCCUCUUGGUUCCUUGUCUGUGUAGAAUGGGUCUCUGAUUACAGGUGGACAAGAAGUUGGCAAUGAAUGAGAGUCAUAUCAACAUGAGAGGUUGUGUAGAAUCUGAAUGUAAUUUGUCAAGUCGAGCAUUUAACUUUUUAUACAGAAUAAUAACAAGAAACCAGGAGAGAUACAUCUGCUGAGUUACAGUGACACAAUACAAAAGGAAUGUAUACAUCAAAAGAAGUGGGGGACCAGGCCACUGCCACUAAGAAGGGAGCCAGGUGUAAUGCUAGUCUAUUGUUAAGCCACCACCAAGGUUUUUUAGUAAAUGCCUGAUUUAUGCUAUUUCUUUGGGCCUAAUGAAGAAACCUGUCUCAGGGGGAUUCCCUAACUCUUUCAUGGUAAACCCACCUAUUCACUAGGCCUUUGUGAAUUCCUUUGUCUGGGUAAGACUGUCCAUUGUCUCAAGGAAACCCUCUGCAGACCAGCCCUGAGCUAUUCUUGCUCCUUUCUUUGAAAUGUGUCUCUACUAGAAGUAAACUUGAAUGUUACUGAAUAGAUAACCUUCUCACUGAAUUCCUAUUGAAUUCCAAGUUUGUUUGCCUCAAGGAUUUUCGGGGAUGUUGGAACACUGGCGAAGGCUUAGCUAUGUCAGAAUUCAAUCUUUAAAGGCACUUAUAAUAAAAUAAUACUGAAAGAAAGUAUGCAGAUCCAUACACC